GGUAGACAUAAAGUGUGAAUAUUUAUGCACAAUAUGUUAGUGCCCACCACUUGGCAAGUGAUCUGAGAGACUUUAUGCCCAAAAGACAACACUAAAGAAAUAUCACUGAGCAAUCACAUAGACAAAAUAACUUGGCCAAUUGAAGUUAGGCAUUCAUUGUCCUCGACCACUGGAGAACUGGAACAAAGGGCAAUGAGCUGAGUGGACAUGGUAGCAGAGAUCACAUCUACACAUGGGCUCAACAGCACAGACUCCCAGUAAUCAAGGCUGACUAAGUACUGCUGCCUCUGAAUACCCAGUACCUGAACAGGAGGGACCAAUAAUGAGCCCUCCAGGAGAGCAGCUGGCCACUGGUGGCAGUUUGACUACCUCGUGCGCACUAGAAAGGCCUGCAGUUUGCCCUACAAGGAAAGAUAUCUAUAUUUCAGGCAUGGAUUUGCUUUUCUAUAUGUCACACCUCAGCUGGCUUCACUAUCCCUGACGCCCUUAUGGAGUCACGUGUCCUUAGUGUAGCAGGUCCCUCUUUGAUGUUCCCAAUGCUCCUUUUGAAUACCCCAAUUACAUAUAUAGUAGGUUGAAAUUAUUUACUUAAAUAAUUUAUAGUUAAUAGUUGUUAUAUGCUAUAUCUCAUUUAAUCCUCAAAAUAAAUCUUUAAGAUAAUACACAAUAGUACUCCUGUUUCAGAGCUGAGGAAACUGAAGCUAUAAAGAGGCUAAAAAUUUGCCCAAGAUCAAUAGCUAGGAAGUGAUGUAGAAAUAAAUUCAGUCCUGACAUUCUUCCUGCAGAGUAUAUAUACUUAACCAUUAUGGAAAUGAUCUCUAUUAUAAUCUGUUUACACAUUUUUGUCCCUUAUGAGGCUUUAAGUCUUUAGUGUCUUGUCCGUGGCUAAUACAAUAUCUAGCAUGUGGUACUCACAACAGGUUUUCUGAAUUUAUAAAGAGGGGGAGAAAAGGUUCUGGACUUGGGCAGUGAUAGUUGACUUUUGGACUUCUGGGGGUAAAGCAGUAGUUAAAUUGCCAUGACUUACACAUUUUAACCUUUUAUUUCACUGAGAAGACAAACAGUACAUUACAUGGUGUUUUGAUUACCCCCUUUCCUAUUUCUUUGUAAGUUGGUGUUCUAGCUAUCCAUUGAUGAGUAACAAAUUAUUCCAGAACUAAGUGACAACAGCCAUUUAUUAAAUCUCAUGAUUUUGUGGAUCAGGAAUUCUAGAUGAGCUCAGAUCAGCAAUAUGUCUGCUCCACAUGUAUUAACUGAGGUCAAUUGAUAGUAUUUAACUGGCAGAUUGCUGGUCUGGAGUCCCUUAGACAGCUUUGUUCACAUAUCCUGUAUCUUAGCAGUGAUGGCUGGUGGGCUAGGAUUAGCUGGGACUAUUAACAAGUGCAUCUACACAUGGUCUUAAUGAUUGCCUGUUUGUGUGUAAAGACAACAAAGAUGAUCUUCCUUAUUCAAUCCUAAAAUUCUAUAUUCUUUGGGGGACUUCCCUUAAAAAGGAAGAAGGCAAUUUUCCAUCCUUUCAUUUUUGACACAGAAUUGAAUUACCACUACGUGCAGAGAAGCAUCUAGAGGCAGUUAGGCAGAAGUACGGUUAGAUCUGUGAGCUUGGGCAAACCACUUCAACUCCUUGAGAUUUAAUCAUCUUAGCUGUGAAAAGGGGACAGUAAUACCUGCCUAAAGUUUAAAAAUUGUUUUGAGGUUCUGGAAGUAUUAACACAUGGGAAAAUAUUACAUACUGUAAACCACUUUUGUAUAAACAGAGCUAUUGACUCAAGAAAAUAAGACACAAUUGGAAUGGGAUAUAGCACAAUUAUGCAAAAAAAAUAUGGGAUAUAGUGACUGACUUAAACUAGCAUAAACCAAAGACAUGUUGUUUGAAAGGAAAGAAAGAUUGUAUCUGGUUGCAACAGCAGGGAAAGCUUUAUUAUUAUUAUUAUUCAAUGAUUCCAUUUUCUCACCUAUGUAGGAACCUAAUGGUGAUAUUAUACUCAAGUUCACAGAAGUCAAAAUGUCUCUGUAGUCCAGCUAUAACUGGAGUUUUCUGGACAAGAAUGAUUUGGUUUCUAGAAAUGAUCUGCACAAUUCAGCACUGUUAUUAGACAGUCUCUGUUACUUUAAUGCUAAUAAUAGGACCUGCCAAAUAAUCUGAUGAGGAAAGCUAAGGUAUGCAAGAUUUCAUCAGAGCAGGCUGCACCCAUGGCCUCUGGAAAUUUUCAUCAUGUGGUGGAGCCCUGGGUGCCUAUCUGGAAAUCAAGAGCCCCAACACCUCAGUCAUCAACCCAGCUCCACAUGGCAAAGGAGCAUGUUUCCUGCAUUAAAUAUACUUUGCUGCAGUGAACUGACUCAGAUGUGGUAUUUUAAUUGGCAUUAAACAGAAUUAUUAUUUAAUUAAAGCAGAGGCUAAUUAAUUUUCUGAGUCAUUGUGCAAAAGAUGCUAUAUUCCAGUCAAAACCAAUUUAAUUGAAUAACAUCAAAUAUUCAAUUUGGUGCCUUCGGGAGGUCUAUUUUGUAUCUUUUAUUUUCUUAUCCAAAUGGAUACUUCUAUUAGAGAUAGUUUAAGAUAGAGUAUUUAGAUUUGUUAAAUGUCACAGUGGAAAGGGACUUUACAGAACUCCUCCUGCUUGGAUAUUUUAUAGAUAGGGAAAAUGAAAUUCAGAUAGUGAAAAACAAUCUUCCAAAAUUAAACACCUAGUCAGGCCUGUAUCAGUCCUGGGAAAUGGUUCUUGACUCUCAUUCCACUAUUCUUAGAAAGGUGAGCUUUCUGAGAGAAUCUAUGUCAUGUCAACACUAGAAGCAACCUCACAAACGAUCCUUCCAGUAUCCCAUUUUAUUCUUGGGGAAACUGAGGACCAGUGAUGGUAAAGACUUGCUAAGUCAUACAGCCGAGCCAGGGCAAGAGCCCCACUUUAUAGUCUAUAAUCUGUCUACCGUAGCGUGGCCUCCUUCCCUCGUCGAGUAUCCAUGCCCUUGGCACUUAGAUUCGGUCUGCAUCUCACCACAUAAUUCUGAACCUACCAAUUUCUUGCAUGUAGUUUUCUGCAAUUAGCUUUGAAAACUCUCAAGGAGAGGGUCUUAGCUGCCUCUACUUCUCUCUUCUGAAGGACUGGGUACAUGGAUGUCCUCAGUAUAAGUUGACCACAGUGACUUCCCAAAGACCUAGAAUGCAAACAAUUAGAAGGACUAAAGAUCUAGAAGGUGAUGACUACUUAUUCAGAAUGGAAUAGUCCAUCUCUGUAGUCAGAUGGAGCAGGGUUUGAAUACAGACUCUUGUACUUACUCACUUUCUGGCAUUCUGACCUCAAUUCUCUCAUCUGAAAAUGGUCAUUAUAGCACUUCCUUCACAUGUUGUAAAGAUAAAGUGAAGAAAAUAUAUAAGCUGCUUGGAAAAUACUUGGUAAAUAGUAAGUACCCAAGCAAUGCAUCCUCAUUUAUAUAUUUCCACAGAGUGGAUGGGUAAAAAUGCAUUACAACUUCCCUAUUAUUAGAGGGCAAAGGCCUCGACACACCUGGGGAGUUUUUCAUUUUUUGUAACAUUGCCGAAUAUAUUGGACGGGUAGAAAGAACCAUGCUCAAUGUUCCUGUUUUGUUCUGACACUUUUUGUUUGAAAUAUCUUCACCAACAUUGAGUUCUCCGAGGUUUUUCAGGAGGGAGUGGCUCUUAAAUGCAAACCCUGUGCAUUUGUUGCAAUCUCCAUUUCCACUGCCAUUUUUUCCAACUAAACCACAGCAAGGAAGAAACUAAUGGUGGUCGGCUGUUGAGAGCUUUUAGGCAUAUUUCUAUCUUUACUACAGAGGAAGGGAGGUCAGUUUGUUCCAGUUAAGGCCAGUAUGGAGCCAGAGGUCUGUUCUUAUGUCAUGAAUUUGUCUGGGGUGAAGAAAUCCAGCCAUGCCUGAGAUGGCUGUCUUCUUGCUGUGCACCCUCAGCAAUGAUUUACCGGUUGUGCAUAAUCCCCAGCCAUGCCCUGGGGGAGGAGGGCUGCUGCCAAGUUCUCCCUUGAGGAGCACGUGCGUCUUCUUCUGGACUACAUAUCAGGGUGAGAUGUGGGCGGCUGGGUUUGCGGUGAAGGGAGAUAGGUGAAAUCUGUCAGCAACUCUUGCAUCAAAUGUUUUCUGUGUUUCAAAUUUGGGUUUCUAAACUGCCUGGGCUUAUUUCAAUGAUCCGUCUGGACCUGUGGGUCUCAGCCAAGGACUUAGGGGACAUCGUAACUGCUGCCAGGGGAAAUAGUCCCUAAAGAACUGUGGGGAUAAGCUCAUGAGGAAACAACUUUUUCGCCAAAGGCCUGAGGACAAUUGCAAAAUCCAAGAAGGAAAAGGAGAGAGAAAGUGGUUUUCUGAAUCACAAAACUGUUUCAUGGAAAGCACAAAACAACCCUAGUCGAGGGCCCUCUCUCCUACUGAGAUGAGCCCUUUAAGACUACAGCAAACCCAAUUCUGAAGGGACCAUCUGGUCUGAGGGAUUGCUAAGCAUCCCAGAGAGAAUAUCCUUUAUAUUUCAGUAGGAGUAUUAUCAAAGAAAUCUAUCUUCUUUUGUGACUCAGAACCAUAAAACAGCAUCAAACUGAAUUUACAGUUCCAAUUCUCCCCACUCUUGGACACGGGUAAGAGAUAAAUCAUUUUCUCCACAUAUUUUUAGUUAUGGAGUUUGAAUCUUAGAGAGUUAAAUUCUUUCUAAGGAAGGAUCCUUAGAGAUCACCAAUCUUCUGAUUCAGUAACGGUGGAAACAGGCUGAGCAUAAAAGAUUGAUUCUGAAGAGCACGGGAUUCAAAAAUGGCAUCAGUCAUGCAACACUCUUCCCAGUGUUCUUUCUAAAACAUUCAUUAUACAUGCCCAGCACUAUUGGGUGUGGUUAUAUAAUGCAUAUCACCUAGUUUGUAAUGUGAGAGGCAACUGAGAUCAGUCAGUAAAGCCUUGGAAAUAAGUAAAGUCAAAAAAGGUUGGGAUGAUUAGCUAAGGAAUAGAAAGACAUCAGAUGCUUGGCUCAUUUGAGUGGGAAGGAGAUAUGACCAUUAAAUGUGGAACAGAAAUCAGAAAAUAAAUAAAUAAAUAAAAGCCAAUGGAAGAUGCCAGUUAAACGAAAGGCAGGAACACUGGGUCAGUGCUAAUGACCAUGUGCCUCAACAGUAGCUGUGCACAAGGGUGUUUUGCCAUGUGCAUACAUGCAGCUUAAUUGGAACAUUGUCACUGAGCUAAAUGACACAUGGUAGCAAUCUUGCAUGUUUAUGAGCUGCUGUCAAUGCUGCCAACUUGAUUAUAAAGGAGCUUUGUUCCAAAGGCUUUGUUAAUUGCUGUAUCACUAUAAUGUUACAGAUGGCUUAUCAAAGAUGUCAAUGAAAUUGGGAAGUGGAGUACUGAGAAGCUUGGUUCAUCACCCACCACAUUCUCC